AUAAUUAGAAACAUGGGUAGGUGGCAGGUACCAGGUGUAUACACAGAAGUUAUUACAUGAUUCUUUCCAGUUUAGCUGCUGUAGAAGAGAAACCCCUGGUCCUGUUUUAUAAACACAGUACUUAGCAUCCCUCUUAUUAAACAUCAUCAUUUUUGCACACCUCUAAUCUCAGCCCUUGAAGGUGAAGAGAAGAAAAAUAAAGCUGUGUUUAGCUCUUAUUCAAUAGAAAAAAAGGCCUACAUAAAAAAAGUCCCAGCCGGGCGGUGGUGGUGCACGCCUUUAAUCCUAGCACUUGGGAGGCAGAGGCAAGCAGAUUUCUGAAUUCGAGGCCAGCCUGGUCUACAAAGUGAGUUCCAAGACAGCCAGGGCUAUACAGAGAAACCCUGUCUUAAAAAAUCAAACCAAAACAAAACAAACAAAAAAAAUUCCCAUAGGGACUGAAAUGAAAGAAAAAGAAAACCAAAAUGUUUUCUAGUGUCUCACUGUUAUUUUAAAACAGGUGAAGUGGAACUCAUCUGUGAUUUCUCAGAAGGCUGAGGCUCGGAGGAUUUCACAUUUGAGGACAGCCUGGAGAUUCUGUUAAAACUCCCAAACCUUCCUAAUUUAUCAUGUGAUUUAUUAUGUUUAUGGUAAGAUGUAUAUAUAUAUAUAUAUAUUUUUUUUUUUUUUUUGAGACAGUCUCAUAUAACCCAGGCUGACCUCAAAUGAAGUAUCUGCAGAUAACUUUGGACUACUGAUCUCUGCUGUCACCUGCGGAGCUUUUGGGAUUACCACCCUGAGCCGUUACAUCCACUCGAUAAAAUAUUUUCACCUGCUAAAAUUUCUGCCUAGAGUAUCAGAAACCGAACCCCCAAAGACUGUUAUGUGAUCCCAUCCUGUCCAGGGGUGCUUUGGUUCUAGGAGAGACACAAAGAUAGGACUAAGGAAUCCGGCCCACAGCCUCAGUCUAAGGGCUAAAAGGCCACCAAAUCUAACUUCGUACUUGAGACAUAAAGGUGAGCUGAAAGUCAGACCAUCGCAUAAGUUAACUUUGUUCCAGUUUUCAAGUGAUUGGAAGCUCUCAUUUUACUACUCUGUUCUUAAACACUUUACACAAGGUUACUGUAGGUGACAGCAACCUAGGCCUCAAGACCUUUUGUUUUCCUGAUAGGGACUUGAUAUAUGUAUGUAGUACAGGCAGACUUUGAGCAUCCCAAGUGCUGGGGUUACAAGCCAGUGCCACCACAUCUGGAACGUGCAUUUGGUUACAAAUUACAGCAUUGGGAAAGCAGUGUCUUUUUAUGUGCUGGAAACAAACAAACAAACAAAAAAUACAGUCCCAAAGUAGGAAUCGACAUGUUUACUGCGGAGGACUACAGAUGUAGAUGCUCCCCCUUGCUUCUGACCCUCGCCACUUCUCAACAAGCACUCCUUCCCGACACCGACACAGGCAGGGGCUUCGGCGUGGACCAAGAAGGCGUCAGCUGCGCCUGCACAGGGGGCGACGCAUGCACCGCCGCCAGUCAUUGGGUGCGCGCCGGGUCUGCAGGCAUCCUCCCCAUCACCCGAUACAGAGACCCGCGGAGAGGCUGGAGAUGAAGUGGCCUCGUAGAUCCAGUCGGCAAAACGCCGACCGGAGGCGGAGCUGGGGACGGACUGAGUCACCAGACCCUGCGCUCCCGAGCUACGCAGCACACAAACAAAACAGCGACAGAAUAGGAGGAGCCCCAGCUCUCGCGGCAUCCGCGGGAGCUGCCAGCCGCUUGGGCAAGCCUCGCGUUGUUUGGUUAAGGGGCAGGGCGUUCAGCGAGAGGGCGGAGUCCAACCCAGCUGAGGGUGGGGGUGUUCCCAGGCCCCGUUGAUUGGCAUCUUUCUUCGGAGGGCGCCCCGCGCACGCGCAGCUCCCAGGAGGCGGUGGCGACUAGGGCAGUCCAGCUGCCCGGGUCCCGGGUUGCGGGUCGGGCUCCGCCCUCCCGCGUCGGCGCUGGCGGACGCUGUGCCGGGCCAGUCGGCUGUCUCUGCGGCGCUCCGCCCGCCGCCGGUCCGCCGCUGCUUUGGCCUGGAGGGCUCCCGCCUACGCAGGCUCGUGACGCGGGGGCUGGGACGGGGCUUCAGGGACUGAGCGGGCGCUGCCGCUGUGUGAGCGUCUUCUGCGCCUUCGGUUUAAUUUAUUUUUGGAAAUCAAGUUCAAUAUUAAAAAGAAAGAGCACACAUUAUUGGAAGCCAUUUCUACUAAUUCGUUACAUUUUAACUUAUGAUUUGAUUUGAAUACUGUCAUGGGAGGAGCUGUGAGUGCUGGGGAAGAUAAUGAUGACUUAAUUGAUAACCUUAAAGAAGCUCAGUACAUCCGAACUGAAAGAGUAGAGCAAGCCUUCAGAGCCAUUGACCGCGGAGAUUACUAUCUGGAAGGCUACCGAGACAAUGCUUACAAAGACUUAGCCUGGAAGCACGGGAACAUACACUUGUCAGCACCUUGCAUUUAUUCUGAAGUUAUGGAAGCUUUGAAACUUCAACCAGGAUUAUCUUUUCUUAACCUGGGAAGUGGAACCGGAUAUUUAAGUACAAUGGUGGGCUUAAUUUUAGGUCCUUUUGGAAUAAAUCAUGGGAUUGAACUUCAUUCAGAUGUGGUGGAGUAUGCCAAGGAAAAACUGGAGAGCUUCAUCAAAAAUAGUGAUAGCUUUGAUAAAUUUGAAUUCUGUGAACCCGCAUUUGUGGUGGGUAAUUGCCUUCAGAUAGCUUCUGACAGUCAUCAGUAUGAUCGAAUUUACUGUGGAGCUGGAGUCCAGAAAGACCACGAAAACUACAUGAAGAUCUUACUCAAAGUUGGGGGCAUAUUGGUCAUGCCUAUAGAGGAUCAGUUGACACAGAUUAUGCGGACUGGACAAAACACUUGGGAAAGUAAAAAUAUCCUUGCGGUUUCCUUUGCACCACUAGUACAGCCUAGUAAGAAUGAUAAUGGCACACCGGACUCUGUGGGGCUCCACAGAAUUGUGGCUAUUUUUGAUACUUUGGGUUCUCAUAGCCCAGUGGAAAGUACUAAACCCUCUGUGGCCCAUGCUGCCCAUGCUGGUGUUCUUACACAGCAGGAGCUUUGUAUAUGAGCACACUUCUUUCUAUUAGGCUUUGCAGCUGCCAUGGAAACACUUUACUCAAGAAAACUUCACAUUCUUCUUUAUCUGACACUUCCUUUAGCUCCAUGUGCUGUCAGGAAUCUCCAAGACUUGGCUCGCAUUUACAUUCGACGUACACUUAGAAACUUCAUAAAUGAUGAGAUGCAGGCCAAGGGGAUUCCACAAAGGGCUCCACCCAAGAGGAAAAGAAAGAGAGUUAAACAGAGAAUUAAUACUUACGUAUUUGUGGGUAAUCAGCUUAUCCCUCAGCCUCUAGACAGUGAAGAGGAUGAAAAAAUGGAAGAAGACAGCAAAGAAGAAGAGGAGAAAGAGCACAUCGAAGCCAUGAAGCGCGAGGAACCACCUCAGAACCUACUGAGGGAAAAGAUAAUGAAGCUGCCACUCCCAGAGUCUUUAAAGGCUUACUUGACAUAUUUUCGAGACAAAUAACUUAAACAAGGAAGAAUGCCUACUGAUAAACUCCCUUACUCUUGUAAAUGUAGUAUUAAUUAGGACUUAGAGAAUUACUUCAUUAGAAUGAAUUAUUGCAGAAAAAAGUCUAAGUUAUUUCUUUUAAUAACAGAAAUGAUGUAUUCAGUGAUUUAAAAGAGUCUCUUUCCUAAGAUCUAUUUUUCUUAAAUCUUGAAGAAUUACUGUUUUGAUCUCAAAGUGGGAUGGGUCAAUAGUAAGAACUUUGUAUACAGUACUCUUUCUGGUUCUUCAUGGAUUUGUAGUGUUGGCAAUUGAAUUUCAUUCUAUAAGAGGUUGAUACACAUAUUGUCACACAUAUAGGCUUAUUUAAAUUGCCGUUUGCAUUUCUGUUACUUGAGCUUGCUUAUCUAAUAAGGAAAGCAAAUGCUUGUAGACCUACUUACCUUACUUAUGUUCUAGACAUAUUCCGGGCAACGUAUGAGUGCAAUACUAAUUCAAGAUACUGAGUAAUUUAGCUUUAAAAACCACAGACUUCAUGAAAUUUUACAGACCCGAAACUUAAGCUUUUGAAUCUAUUGCCAAAAGGCAUGGGGAAAAUUUCUGCUUCUCUCAUAGAGAUUUUUAAGAGCUAGUGAAUGUUAAAGUAGGAAGUGGCUACUUGACACAACUAGUUUGUAUGGGCCCUUUGUGUUCUCAGUAUUUAAAGAUAAUGAGGUUAUCUUAACUAUAGAAUUUUAAGCGGUAGUAUAUUUAGGAUUGCUUUUCUAUAAAUAACUAUAAAGUAUUAGAUUUGGAAAGUCAUUCACUGUCCCAUUUGCUUCUAAAUGCAGACUGUGAAUAAGUCACAUUAAGUGAUCAGCACUGCUUAGGGACCUCCAGCAGCAGGGGGAAUGAUAUGAUCAGUAGAGACAUUUUAGCAGUGGAACUUUUCAUUAAGUAGAUAUUUAUCUUUGACAAGGUAGGCCACACUGGCCUCAUCUGCUCUGAAUCUUUCUAAUAUAAAUAGUCAUGGGAGUUGUAUGUAGAUGCGUUUGUGUUAAAACUUGCUUCAGAAUCAGAGUGGGAUCUCUGGGACCUAUACCAAACUCAUUAUCCUUCAUUCUGUAUUUUGUUUCUUUGAUAGAAUGAUGAUGAUUUUCACUUUUUGCUUAAUACUACAUUCUUAAGCUACUUACAUAGGGUAUCAGUGAUACACCAGGCAGUGCAUGUCAUUACUAGUUCUUUCUUCCUGGUAGGGCCUGCACAGUUAUUCCUGGUUAAGAAGCUGUGGGAUGUGACCUACUUACUGCUUACCAUCACACGGAAGGGAAGAUUUCAAGUGUCUCACUUAUUCCCACCACAUCACUGUCAGAGCACCCUCUCGGAUUUACAUAAGGAAGUACAAUCAUGAUGAUUCAAAUAGUUUAUAACUCAGGUCCAAUAAUUCUGUGUAGGUGAUCAGUUAAAACAGUUUAAAGAUGAAAUUGACCCAAAUAAUUGAUAAUGUUUUAAUAAUGUGAACAACAGUGUUAUGGAAAGGAUUCGUUUGACUCUUGUGAAAUGGGCCUGUAUGAUUUUUCUUAAUGUAAUUAGUAAACAAACUAUUAUUAAGAUAUGCUCUAUCCUGUUUCUGUCCAAAAAAGAAAAAAGACAUCUCCCUCUCUCUGACGUGGUACUGGGGGUUAAACCCAGGACCAGGACCUCUUGCAUGCUAGGCAAGCACUCUACAAAUGAGAUAUAUCCCUAGACCAACAUACUCUUUUAUUCUUUUUAAAAUUUUGUUUAAGAAGUUUAAUCUUGAACUCCUGAUACCCACAUAGUCUUAUCUGGGAAGAGUUGUCAUUUAUUUUCCAUUCUGUCACCCACAUCUCUUUACUUUUCUCUUAAGAGCUUGAUGUACAGAAAACUGAAAAUAUGUAAUGCUCAGUGAUCUUAUUAUUUAGGAGUGUUUUGACUGAUAUAUUUAAAGAUAGAUUAUAUUCAUGCUGUCUUCUGUUGACUUUGAGAAAUUGUACAGUAGAUUGUCUUGAUCAUUGCAUUUGUUGUCUUUGAAAUGUAUAUUUUGUCAUUUUAAAUUCAUUUACUUUUCAGGUGUGACUUUAUGGUUGACUUUUAAAGGUAGGGAUAGAUGAAAAUUUAAGGAAAGCUAUCUUAUCUAUCAACUCGGAUGCAUUAGAUUAAGAAUAUUUGGGUUCGGGCUUAUUUUUAUUUGAGUGUGGAAAGUUAUGCUUUAUAAGUAAAGAAGUAGCAAAUACAGAUGAAAUAAAAAUAAAUGGAAGAAUAUAAAGAAGAAAAAACUAAGAAAAUAAACAAAAAUGUAAGUGAAAGUAAGCCAUAUGUGAUGGCUACUGCCUGUGGUCAGGGCUUGAGAAGCUGAGGCAGGAGGAUUACAAAUUUAAGGCAUCUGUGGUUUCAGAGGGACUUUGAAGCCCAUCUGGACCACAGAGUAAGACCGGCUUUUGUUCUUCAGAGAACAUAAACAAAAGAAAGUAUAUGAUAAUUAUGGGGAAUAGUCUCGUGGAUUUAAAUAUAGACAAAAAUACAUUUAAGUUUAUCUUUUGAAGACAACAAAGAGGGCUUGAAUGGAUGUGUGUGGGGCUUAAGUCAUGCUGCAGAUUGGAGACAGGGCCUGAAGGAACAUCGACCAUCACUGAAAUCCCCAGGAUCUGGGAGCAACACCAUAGCUGCCAAGGGUCUAAUUUAAAUCUGUCCUACUCACUGGUCAACAUAUUGGACUCUGGUGUUAAUAUAAUGUUAAAAUAGCUGCUUACAUGGUUAAAAGAAAAGAAAAGAAAAUGUGCUGAUUGUUUGAGAUGAAAGUAAAAGAAAACCUGCUAAAUCAUUGGGGAACUUGGGAGGAAAAUCAUUUUAAAUAAACAAAUCACAUCAUUACACAGCAUUAUCCAGUGGCCUGCCUCUUUUAUUUUUCUCUUAUUUUUGUGAUCAAUAAUCACUGUACAUAUAGAUAUUUAGCCACUUUUUUUAGCUCCAUCGACUUCAGUGGUUAGGUCAGUCCCCAUCGAGACACCGGACUUAAAGAACUGAGCAUUGAUAAGAACUCAGUAUGGCUGCAUAGGAGACAAGAACAAGCAGUGAUCUAGUGAUUCACACCUGUCUUGCCUUUACUGUAUUCACAGGAGCUUUGGAUUGAGAAGAAUUCAGUCAAGGAGCAGGAGGUAGGCUUAAGGCAGGCCUGGAUAAAGUAUGGUCCUGGAAGAUGUCCCAAAGAAAUUCAAAGAUGAUUAUUUCUUUAGUUUUUGCCUUGUCCUCACCAGUAAUUGCUCCCAUCUAGGGAGAGGGAGGGAUAUUGAUGUCUCUCUUUUAAACAUAUGUUUACUCUUCCAAGGUGACUUAUGGGACUAAGAAAGGAAGCAAAGCUUUUUACCAAAAGUAGACUUAAACUUUGAGUUUUUACGUUGCUGUUUAUAUCUCUAAUUCAGCACUCUUAUUGCUGUAGCUAAGCCUUUUCGAUUCUAUAUUAAGUAGAGUUGAAAGUGGAGAUCUUUCUUGAGUUCUUAGUAGUGGAAAUGCUGAGCUCUCCCAUAAAAAUGAUGUGCCUGAAUGGUUUGCCAUAUAUAGCCUUUAUUAUGUGAUGAUAUGAUCCUUUUAUUCUGAAUUUCUUCAGGACUUUUAACAUAAGGGGAUGUUAAAUUUUGUCCAAAGCCAUUUUUUUUUGCAUUUAUAAAGAUGAUCAUGUUAUUCUGUCUUUGAGCCCAUUUAUGUAAUUUCUAAUACACACACACACAUCCCUGUAUCUGGAAUAAAGCCAAUGUAGUUGUGGUGAA